UACGUAGGGGUCUAGCGUUGUCCGGAAUCAUUGGGCGUAAAGAGCUCGUAGGCGGUUCGGCAAGUCGGAUGUGAAAUCUCCACGCUCAACGUGGAGGGGCCAUUCGAAACUGCCGUGACUCGAGUCCGGUAGGGGAGUGCGGAAUUCCCGGUGUAGCGGUGAAAUGCGCAGAUAUCGGGAGGAACACCAGUGGCGAAGGCGGCGUUCUGGACUGUAACUGACACUGAGAAACGAAAGCCAGGGUAGCAAACGGG
rnacentral:rRNA from 1 species